rnacentral:rRNA from 1 species
AUUGAACGCUGGCGGCAGGCCUAACACAUGCAAUUCGAGCGGAUUAAGGGAGCUUGCUCCUGUAUUCAGCGGCGGACGGGUGAGUAAUGCCUAGGAAUCUGCCUGGCAGUGGGGGAUAACGUCCGGAAACGGGCGCUAAUACCGCAUACGUCCUGAGGGAGAAAGUGGGGGAUCUUCGGACCUCACGCUAUCAGAUGAGCCUAGGUCGGAUUAGCUAGUUGGUGGGGUAAAGGCCUACCAAGGCGACGAUCCGUAACUGGUCUGAGAGGAUGAUCAGUCACACUGGAACUGAGACACGGUCCAGACUCCUACGGGAGGCAGCAGUGGGGAAUAUUGGACAAUGGGCGAAAGCCUGAUCCAGCCAUGCCGCGUGUGUGAAGAAGGUCUUCGGAUUGUAAAGCACUUUAAGUUGGGAGGAAGGGCAGUAAGUUAAUACCUUGCUGUUUUGACGUUACCAACAGAAUAAGCACCGGCUAACUUCGUG